AGGUGAGUCUAUGGCAUGACACGUGUGACUUUAAAUGAAACGAUGCACAGGGAGUAUUGUGCAGAGUAUUGGGCUGAGUAUUGCGUUUGUUAAUCGAGGCCCAUGAUGUCCCAACCCUAAUCAUUCGAGAAACCUGUACGUCGUCUUCUUCGAAUCCUUUGAACGGCAAUCUUUGGUGCAAGUCGUCAUCUGCGUCGAUUCGUUUACAGUUUUCUCAUAUGCUUCUGAAGAUCGGCACCGUUACACAACUCCAUUGCAUUAAGUUACAGUCAUUAAAGUUCUAAUUAACUCUAUAUCUCCCACUCCUUCCAUGAUUUCACAAUCAAUACAUCACAUCCUUCCAGUCGGUGAAUCUGCAGAUAUAUAUAGGUUUUGGGAAGCGGUAGCGAUCUCAGUGGUCUCGACAAGCUAAGAAUGCUCUGGUGAAUUUGUGUGGAUGGGAAAUGCGAAAGAAAAAAUUGUAGCAGCAACGAUGCAUCUUCUGUCCCUGGAGAUCAAUGAGGCUGGGAACAAGGAGCUUUACGAAGCAAAAUUUUUGGUGAAGCCAUGGUUGAACUUCAAGGAGUUGCAGGACUAAGCUUGCUGUUGAUGAUGCCGCUACCAUUAGUCCCUCUGAUCUUGGCUGCAAAAAGAUAACAAUGCAUAUGGAUGGAGGGAAGUUUCAAGAGAUGAUCUAGAAGUGCAACACGUUUCCGGAUUAUGCCGUCAAGACCAUCCAAGAGAUAUAUGGCACAGUAAGUUUAUAAGAAAGUCUAAGAAUCUAUAUCUAAAGACGAUGCUUCUGCAACACACAAAAGAUGUAAUCAAACUGAUCGUGCCAUAUACGAAACUUUCGCUGAGAAUCUGACCAGCUAGGCAACGUGCUAUUGAAGAAGUUAUGAUCAAAUCUGAAAGUUUCAAGCUUUACCAUUGUAAAAAGCUUGGGUGGUACUGAUCCAAACAGAAACUUAUUACUCAAAUCCAAUUACUCGAGUGAAGUUAACCUAUGAAGUUUCACAGUGAUGUUAUUCCAAAUC